CCUANGGGGGGCAGCAGUAGGGAAUAUUGCACAAUGGGCGAAAGCCUGAUGCAGCAACGCCGCGUGUGCGAAGAAGGCCUUCGGGUCGUAAAGCACUUUUCUGGGAGAUGAGAAAGGACAGUAUCCCAGGAAUAAGUCUCGGCUAACUACGUGCCAGCAGCCGCGGUAACACGUAGGAGGCGAGCGUUAUCCGGAUUCACUGGGCGUAAAGCGCGUGCAGGCGGUUCGGUAAGUUGGGCGUGAAAUCUCCCGGCUCAACUGGGAGGGGUCGUUCAAUACUACCGGACUUGAGAGCGAUAGAGGAAAAUGGAAUUCCCGGUGUAGUGGUGAAAUGCGUAGAUAUCGGGAGGAACACCAGUGGCGAAAGCGAUUUUCUGGAUCGUUUCUGACGCUCAGACGCGAAAGCUAGGGUAGCAAACGGGAUUAGAUACCCCGNUANUC
rnacentral:rRNA from 1 species